CUUUAAAAAUUUAAAGAUUGCAACCUCGAUGAACAAUGCGAAUGCCAUCGCAUCGAGAAAUUCUCUACCAUUGUUAUGGGAAGCAGAGUAAAGAGAACGAAGGAUACUUUUUUCUUCUUUGCUUUUGAUCAUGAGUGAUCAUGUGAUACGAGUGAGAAACGAUCAAGUGUGUGGGAAUUGUGCAGACUGAUAAAUUUCAUAGCGCAAGGAACUUCUUGGGUGAGUAAUAGACGCCUCCGGUGGAGGAAUAACCUGUCCAAUGUCUUUCAUGUGGCAAUGAUCGAUAUGACAGGAAGCCAAAUAAUCACUUUUCGAUGUGAAACUGUAUAAAAUACAGUGUAUAAAAGAAGUCGCCGAUCCAUAGACCAAGUCGAGAAUGAUACAAAUUAUCAAAAUAGAAAAAAUAUACAGGUUUUUGAUAAAACUUAACAUUCUGAAUGGUGGUUCAAUGGUGCUCUUAGCAGUAGAGUCGUUGGGAUAUGCAAAUAUCGGACAUUUUGUCUUUGGGAAGAAGCUUAGAGUCGCUCUCGAAAGCUCAGACUUCCUUACCUCCGUCGCGUAAUAAUGAUCUCUUAUCAAGGACUGUAGGGCGAAGGCCACUGCAAUCUUUAAUAAAUCU
rnacentral:ncRNA from 1 species